CUCGGACCCGGAGAGGGCAGGGCAGGAAGGCCAUUGGGCAGGAAUGGUGGGCAGAGGCCGGUGGCCCAGGGCCUGGAGGCCAGCAUGGGUAGUGAGAGGCUGGGGAAGAAUUUAUGCAGAGGAGGGAUAUGGUCAGCAUCGUUUUUACCAAACUCUCCCCAGUGCCGUGAGGAGAACAGACUGGAGGAGUCCACAGUGGAGCUGCUGUGCCAGUGAGGACACUACUGCAGCCUUGGUUGGCAUUUACUGGACCCACGUGUUCCCGUGAAGAAAGUGGUUCCCACAAGUGUUAACGGAGCAGAAAAUUCCUCAGAGGUCGCACACAGAUGCUGCCUUUGGGUCUCUGCACUCUGUGAGCGGCACUUCUGAUGGUUGGACGUAUCCCAGCUAUUUCCAGGUUGUUAAUCCUUGAAAUGACCUCGUGUUUUCUGAGGACAAAACUCUAGAAGUGAGCUCUGCUCAAAGGCCUGCAGCAACUGUCCGUGUUCCCCGUCCCCCGUCUGUCCGUCCGUCGUCGCUCACCCCCACCUCCCCGGCACGGCCUGUGAAUGCCGGGCUCUCGGGCAUCCUUGCCAACACCCGGUACUAUCAUUAAAAGAGAAAAU
rnacentral:lncRNA from 1 species